CCAGCUAUUAGUCUGGCAAUGUUGUAUGUGAAUGUUGUGGUUUCCCACGUUUACGAUUCCACUCGUGUAACGUAUGUAGUGGUUUUUGAGAAACCACAACAUUCACAUACAACAUUGCCAGACUAAUAGCUGGC